rnacentral:rRNA from 1 species
UUGCAAGGUCAAGUGAAGAAGGGCGCACGGUGAAUGCCUUGGCACUGGAAGCCGAUGAAGGACGCGACUAACCGCGAAAGUCUUCGGGGAGCCGUAAGUAGGCUUUGAUCCGGAGGUCUCCGAAUGGGGGAACCCAGCAUGUGCAGACAUGCUAUCCUUAAGUGAAUACAUAGCUUAAGGAGGGAACACGCAGUGAACUGAAACAUCUAAGUAGCUGCAGGAAGAGAAAGAAAUAUCGAUUUCCCAAGUAGCGGCGAGCGAACAGGAAAGAGCCCAAACCGGCAGAUUUAUCUGCCGGGGUUGUAGGACUGAGACAUGGCUGAGUAGGGCGGGACACGUGAAAUCCCGUUUGAAUCCGCGAGGACCAUCUCGCAAGGCUAAAUACUAACCAGUGACCGAUAGUGAACCAGUACCGUGAGGGAAAGGUGAAAAGAACCCCGGGAGGGGAGUGAAAGAGAACCUGAAACCGUGUGCCUACAAGUAGUCAGAGCCCGUUAACGGGUAAUGGCGUGCCUUUUGUAGAAUGAACCGGCGAGUUGCGUUAGUCAGCAAGGUUAAGUCAGAAAAGACGGAGCCGUAGCGAAAGCGAGUCUGAAGAGGGCGAGCAGUUGGCUGACGCAGACCCGAAACCAAGUGACCUACCCAUGACCAGGUUGAAGGCGCGGUAAAACGCGCUGGAGGACCGAACCCACGUAAGUUGAAAAUUGCGGGGAUGAGUUGUGGGUAGCGGUGAAAUUCCAAACGAACUUGGAGAUAGCUGGUUCUCUCCGAAAUAGCUUUAGGGCUAGCCUCGCAAAGAGGAUGCUGGAGGUAGAGCUCUGUUUGGACUAGGGGCCCGUCAAGGGUUACUGAAUUCAGAUAAACUGCGAAUUCCAGACAUUUAUGUGCGGGAGUCAGACUGCGAGUGAUAAGAUCCGUAGUCGAAAGGGAAACAGCCCAGAUCACCAGUUAAGGUCCCAAAAUUCAUGCUAAGUGGAAAAGGAUGUGGAGUUGCGCAGACAACUAGGACGUUGGCUCAGAAGCAGCCAUCAUUCAAAGAGUGCGUAAUAGCUCACUAGUCGAGUGACGCCGCGCCGAAAAUUUACCGGGGCUAAGCAUGAUACCGAAACUGUGGAUGUGCAUUUAUG